rnacentral:rRNA from 1 species
GAUGAACGCUGGCGGCGUGCCUAAUACAUGCAAGUCGAGCGAACAGAUGAGGAGCUUGCUCCUCUGACGUUAGCGGCGGACGGGUGAGUAACACGUGGAUAACCUACCUAUAAGACUGGGAUAACUUCGGGAAACCGGAGCUAAUACCGGAUAAUAUAUUGAACCGCAUGGUUCAAUAGUGAAAGACGGUUUUGCUGUCACUUAUAGAUGGAUCCGCGCCGCAUUAGCUAGUUGGUAAGGUAACGGCUUACCAAGGCAACGAUGCGUAGCCGACCUGAGAGGGUGAUCGGCCACACUGGAAAUGAGACAAGGUCCAGACUCCUACGGGAGGCAGCAGUAGGGAAUCUUCCGCAAUGGGCGAAAGCCUGACGGAGCAACGCCGCGUGAGUGAUGAAGGUCUUCGGAUCGUAAAACUCUGUUAUUAGGGAAGAACAAAUGUGUAAGUAACUAUGCACGUCUUGACGGUACCUAAUCAGAAAGCCACGGCUAACUACGUG